GACGAACGCUGGCGGCAUGCCUAAUACAUGCAAGUCGAGCGAACAGAUGAAGUGCUCGCACUUCUGACGUUAGCGGCGAACGGGUGAGUAACACGUAAGGAAUCUACCUAUAAGCGGGGGAUAACAUUCGGAAACGGGUGCUAAUACCGCAUAAUAUCUUCUUCCGCAUGGAAGAAGAUUGAAAGACGGCUCUGCUGUCACUUAUAGAUGACCUUGCGGUGCAUUAGUUAGUUGGUGGGGUAACGGCCUACCAAGACGAUGAUGCAUAGCCGACCUGAGAGGGUGAUCGGCCACAUUGGGACUGAGACACGGCCCAAACUCCGACGGGAGGCAGCAGUAGGGAAUCUUCCGCAAUGGGCGAAAGCCUGACGGAGCAAUGCCGCGUGAGUGAAGAAGGCCUUCGGGUCGUAAAACUCUGUUAUAAGAGAAGAACAAAUUGUAGAGUAACUGCUACAGUCUUGACGGUAUCUUAUCAGAAAGCCACGGCUAACUACGUGCCAGCAGCCGCCGUAA
rnacentral:rRNA from 1 species